rnacentral:rRNA from 1 species
AGAGUUUGAUCCUGGCUCAGGACGAACGCUGGCGGCGUGCUUAACACAUGCAAGUCGAACGGGGAUUGCGUUGGAAAUCCUUCGGGGUGGAAGAUGUAAUUCGAGUGGCGGACGGGUGAGUAACGCGUGAGCAAUCUGUCCCAGACAGGGGGAUAACACUUGGAAACAGGUGCUAAUACCGCAUAAGACCACGGCAUCGCAUGAUGCAGAGGUAAAAGGAGUAAUCCGGUUUGGGGUGAGCUCGCGUCCGAUUAGCCAGUUGGUGAGGUAACGGCCCACCAAAGCGACGAUCGGUAGCCGGACUGAGAGGUUGAACGGCCACAUUGGAACUGAGAGACGGUCCAAACUCCUACGGGAGGCAGCAGUGGGGAAUAUUGGGCAAUGGGCGGAAGCCUGACCCAGCAACGCCGCGUGAGUGAAGAAGGCCUUCGGGUUGUAAAGCUCUGUUAUAGGGGACGAAGGAGUGACGGUACCCUAUAAGGAAGCCCCGGCUAACUACGUGCC